rnacentral:rRNA from 1 species
AUACGUAGGGGGCGAGCGUUGUCCUGAAUGAUUGGGCGUAAAGGGCGCGUAGGCGGCGCGGUAAGUCUGGAGUGAAAGUCCUGCUUUCAAGGUGGGAAUUGCUUUGGAUACUGCCGCGCUUGAGUGCAGGAGAGGUUAUCGGAAUUCCCGGUGUAGCGGUGAAAUGCGUAGAGAUCGGGAGGAACACCAGUGGCGAAGGCGGGUAACUGGACUGCAACUGACGCUGAGGCGCGAAAGUGUGGGGAGCAAACAGGAUUAGAUACCCUGGUAGUCCACACUGUAAACGAUGAAUGCUAGGUGUAAGAGGUAUCGACCCCUUUUGUGCCGGAGUCAACACAAUAAGCAUUCCGCCUGGGGAGUACGGCCGCAAGGUUGAAACUCAAAUGAAUUGGCGGGG